rnacentral:rRNA from 1 species
AUUGAACGCUGGCGGCAUGCCUAACACAUGCAAGUCGAGCGGAUGAAGGGAGCUUGCUCUUGUCUUCAGUUGCGGACGGGUGAGUAAUGCCUAGGAAUCUGCCUUGUAUUUUGGAAUAACGUCCGGAAACGGGCGCUGAUACCGCAUACGAGCUGAGUUAGAACGUGGUGGUUCAUAGGACAUUACGCUACCAGCUGUCUCUUGGUCGGAUUAGCUAGCUGGUAUGGUAACGGCCUACCAAGGCGACGAUCCGUCACUGCUCUGAGAGGAUGAUCUGCCACACUGGACCUGAGACACGGUCCAGAAUCCUACGGGAGGCAGCAGUGGGGAAUAUUCGGCAAUGGGCGAAAGACUGCUCCAGCCAUGCCGCGUGUGUGAAGAAGGUCUUCGGAUUGUAAAGCACUUUAAGUUGGGAAGAAGGCCAGUGCAAGCAUACCUAGCCGUUUUGACGUUACCAACAGAAUAAGCCCCGGCUAACUCCGUG